rnacentral:lncRNA from 1 species
UUAGAGGAAUACCUGUUUGCGUCAUUAUGGAAUAUACAAAUGUACAUUUGGUGCUUGGUCUUCCUCUCCAGAAAUCUUGCUCUAAUGAUGGCUAUCAAAGGGGCAAGCAUCUAAAAAUUAGAUUUUGAAGAAGCUUAUUUAUAAUGGUUUACUGGUCCCACCCAUUACGGGCCUAGUAAAAUCCAGUAGCCCAUGCCGUCCAAUCAAGCUUUAAAUAAAAGAUGCAUCGA